rnacentral:lncRNA from 1 species
AUUUAAACUAGUUUUUGUGUCUCCUUUUGUGUGUCCAUUCAUCAACGAUGUCAAGAGCUCGGAUAAUCCUCAAAGAACCUUGUGUCAGCUUCGUCUCUGUUUGAAGCUCCUCUAUGUUCUCCCUGGAGUCCAGUAUUAAGAGUUUGUGUUGGAACACAAUGAGUUCCAGACUGGUACAGCUGAUAGAGCUUCACCAUGAGAGACCAAUCUUUCCCAGUACAUUAAGUGUCAUUAAUGUAAGUAUAUUUCUGAUCUGCUGCUGACUGAAGUGUAAAUUACAUAGUAUGGCUCAGUGUAUUAAUAUAUACUGUUCUUUAUUCCAUUACCUGUUACUACUGUUAUGACACCUUUACUGGCACAACACUCACACUUUCAUUAUAAACUGGGUAGGUUGGUAUUACUGCUGCUACUCUUUAAGAUAAUUAAAUGACCUUUUGAUAUUCAGUAAAACACCCACUGCUGCUCUCGUGUAAAUAUGAUAUAAACUUUCUG